UACGUAGGGUGUGCGUUAAUCGGAAUUACUGGGCGUAAAGCGUGCGCAGGCGGUUCUCCACGUCCGUUGUGAAAGCCCCGGGCUCAACCUGGGAAUGGCAGUGGAAACUAGGGGACUGGAAUCUGGCAGAGGGGGGUGGAAUGCCGCGUGUAGCAGUGAAAUGCGUAGAGAUGCGGCGGAACACCGAUGGCGAAGGCAGCCCCCUGGGCUGAGAUUGACGCUCAGGCACGAAAGCGUGGGGAGCAAACAGG
rnacentral:rRNA from 1 species